rnacentral:tRNA from 1 species
GCCUGGGUAGCUCAGUCAGUUAAGCGUCUGACUUCAGCUCAGGUGAUGAUCUCGCAGUUCGUGAGUUCGAGCCCCGCGUCGGGCU